rnacentral:rRNA from 1 species
CCUACGGGAGGCAGCAGUGAGGAAUAUUGGUCAAUGGACGAGAGUCUGAACCAGCCAAGUAGCGUGAAGGAUGACUGCCCUAUGGGUUGUAAACUUCUUUUAUAUGGGAAUAAAACGUUCCACGUGUGGGAUUUUGUAUGUACCAUAUGAAUAAGGAUCGGCUAACUCCGUGCCAGCAGCCGCGGUAAUACGGAGGAUCCGAGCGUUAUCCGGAUUUAUUGGGUUUAAAGGGAGCGUAGGUGGAUUGUUAAGUCAGUUGUGAAAGUUUGCGGCUCAACCGUAAAAUUGCAGUUGAAACUGGCAGUCUUGAGUACAGUAGAGGUGGGCGGAAUUCGUGGUGUAGCGGUGAAAUGCUUAGAUAUCACGAAGAACUCCGAUUGCGAAGGCAGUUCACUGGACUGCAACUGACACUGAGGCUCGAAAGUGUGGGUAUCAAACAGGAUUAGAUACCCCUUC